GACGAUACUGGGAAUGGGGUCUCCCGAAACCGCCGAAAGGCUGAUGACUCCUACCGCGUA
rnacentral:ncRNA from 19 species